AAAUUGAAGAGUUUGAUCAUGGCUCAGAUUGAACGCUGGCGGCAGGCCUAACACAUGCAAGUCGAACGGUAGCACAGAGAGCUUGCUCUCGGGUGACGAGUGGCGGACGGGUGAGUAAUGUCUGGGAAACUGCCUGAUGGAGGGGGAUAACUACUGGAAACGGUGGCUAAUACCGCAUAACGUCGCAAGACCAAAGAGGGGGACCUUCGGGCCUCUUGCCAUCAGAUGUGCCCAGAUGGGAUUAGCUAGUUGGUGAGGUAACGGCUCACCAAGGCGACGAUCCCUAGCUGGUCUGAGAGGAUGACCAGCCACACUGGAACUGAGACACGGUCCAGACUCCUACGGGAGGCAGCAGUGGGGAAUAUUGCACAAUGGGCGCAAGCCU
rnacentral:rRNA from 1 species